rnacentral:rRNA from 1 species
CACGUAGGCGGUGAAUCGGGUUGAAAGUGAAAGUCGCCAAAAAGUGGCGGAAUGCUCUCGAAACCAAUUCACUUGAGUGAGACAGAGGAGAGUGGAAUUUCGUGUGUAGGGGUGAAAUCCGUAGAUCUACGAAGGAACGCCAAAAGCGAAGGCAGCUCUCUGGGUCCCUACCGACGCUGGGGUGCGAAAGCAUGGGAGCGAACA